UACGUAGGGUGCAAGCGUUGUCCGGAAUUAUUGGGCGUAAAGAGCUCGUAGGCGGUCUGUCGCGUCGGCUGUGAAAACCCGGAGCUCAACUCCGGGCCUGCAGUCGAUACGGGCAGACUGGAGUUCGGCAGGGGAGACUGGAAUUCCUGGUGUAGCGGUGAAAUGCGCAGAUAUCAGGAGGAACACCGAUUGCGAAGGCAGCUCACAAAACUGUAACUGACGCUGAGGCUCGAAAGUGCGGGGAUCAAACAGG
rnacentral:rRNA from 1 species